UCUAACGAAAGUGAAAGUUUUUUUUCUUUCUAAUAUUUGCAUUUUUAAACAAAAGUUUCAUACACAAUUGACCAAUAGAUUGCAUUAAUUAGUGAAAGGUCAAAAUCAAACCUUCCAUUUAGUCUCUCAUAGUCCCCUUGUCUUCAUCCCUUCCACGAAGGGUUGCCCAUGAAUCAAUCAAGAAGCCAUGGAAGAUUACAGCUCAUUCCACUAUACCCAAUACGGCGGCGCCCGGUUCAUGCCGUUAUCCCGGUAGAGGAGGUAUCGGAAGCAACGGAGGUGGAAUUUUAAUUGUCCUUAACAAAUAGCGCUUCUAGUUGUAUGCUUUUGAUUGUUUUUGUCUUUGCAGUGUAAAGUAGCAGGAAUUGAUUCAACAUCUUUUUACAUUUGUUUGUUUCUGUGUGUUUGAAUUAUGUUCUAGGAUGAACCAGUACAAUCUCUCUCUAAACCAAUCGGAACUGAUGGCAGUUAUCUAAGAGAUUUAUACCUUUUUUUUCUAGCCCACAGAUUUUAUAUCAUUUAGGUACUCUGUGUAUGUUUGUUUCUGUAGUUUUUCUUUUGUUGUGUAGGUUUAUAGGAAUUGUUUUUUCUUCUGCUUCUUUUAAAUCUAGUGGGAUGUAUCUUCUCAAAAUGUAAUGGAGAUUUAGCCACUAGUUUUGUUAAUAACUAUUACUUUGUCAGCAAUAGACAGAGAAUGUAUGGUUUACUUAACAUGGGAACGAACAUUUAGUGGUUUUUAUCACAGCAUUAAUCAGUUAUGGUGUUGGAAUGGUCAAGCUUGAAUUGAAAAUGUAGUUUUUUUUUUUUUUUUUUUUUUUUUGAAUUAUAUGGACUGCAGAUUGAACCAACCAUGUUGCCUGGUUGGUUCCUUGGUGCUUUGCUAAUUCUUGCCUAUGCUUAUUGUUUUGUUGCUUGCAAAGCAUGUUUAUGGUUUCUUAUUGCAUAAAAUUUACCUGUUUCGAAUUGUAUCUCUUUGUUUAUGUGUUGUCAAUCAUAGCAUUUUUAAGGGAACUUAAUCUUAAGCUCCCACAUCACUUCGAACACGAAUAAUAUGGAUCAUGCUUGCAUUUUCUGAAUGUGUGAUUAAUCAUUUUAAUUUUGUUUCAAUGAAUGAACUGUCUUUCUAUUUAGCUCGUACAUUUAUAGCUUGGGAGCUGGGGCUCAUGGGUGAUUGAUUUAAUCGUUUUUAUCAUUUACUUGCGAGUUCCAUUUUUGCUACAAGGAAAAUUACGUUUGCAAUAUUGAUUCUCUAUGCUUCACAGGAAAUCUUGUUUGAGAUUUUGUUUCAUCGAUUAGCACCUUGCAUUAGAACCAUGGGUCCAUAGUUAUUAUGUUCCUUGACUAUGAAGCUCUCCUUGCAGUCAGUAUGCUUUCUCAUUACUUGAGAGCCCAGUUAAGAUAUACGUCAUUCCAGUCAAUCCAAAUUCUUGAGCAAGGAAAAAAUGGGCAAGAUUAGAGAGUUACUCAUUCGUACUGCAAAGACAAUUAUUUUAGAACAUUCAUUCUCUUUAACCCACCAUCGUGUAUGUCUAUGUGUGCUUUUGAACUAACAUCUUAAUCAUAAACAGCAAACUUGUUUAUGUUGCGGUUUUGAUGCAGAAGUUGGAUUUUUAGGAGUUCACCUGGUCGAAGGUAUUUUAAACAACUAUGAGAUACUAACCCAAAAUACUUAAUUAGACAUGGCACCAUUCUGUCAAAAAUUGAUGUCUUUCUGCGAACAACAGAUAUUGAUACUAUCAAGUUCAAUCAUUUGAGAGAACAAAAGAAGUUUGCUUGGUUGAGAGGAUUCAAAGGCCUGGGUCGAUGCCAAAUAUUACAUUCCUAGGAGGUUGACGUCCAACCAACCCCGGGGUCAUUUAAGAGCAUGACGGUACAGCUCUGGCUCCAUCUCUUCCUUAUCAUUGAUGUAAGAGUCCGUUUUCACUGCUUAUCAUCAGAUGAGAAGGUUUAUGUGUGUGGCUGACAAUGCUUUGUUUAUCCUGGGCUUCAGUUUCCAUCUUCUUUGUACUAGUUAUGAUUCUUGGUACUCAGUAUAUGGAUCAUCUCCCAUUACAGAUCAUUGUUUACCUUGUUUGUUCUAUUUUUUUUUCAUUGAUUUAUUAUUUCCUUCGUGUAUGAAUAAUGUUUAGAAUGAAAUCACCAUGGAUUGGCCUGACCAAUGAACAAAAAAAGUAAAAAUAAAAGAAUUUAUA